ACAGCCUGGCUGUACAUUUUGAAAUCUGUAUUUCUCUUGUGUAGGGGACUGGUUGUGACUUGUUCUGGAUUUUUGUUUCCUUGACUCCAUUCCCUACCCCCAAUAUGUGUCAGCCAGGACCUCGUCAGCCUCCUCUCCCCCAGAGGCCACUGAGGCUGCCCAGCUAGGAGCCUGAGGGCCUGGGUUUGAGUCUGCCUUUGCCUCUGGUGAUGGCUGGGGCAAGUCCCUGCCCCUGCCUGGUCAGCUGGCUGCACUCAGUGAGAGACACCUUCAGUAGUCCUGUGGCAAGUGGCCAGGCAAGUAUCUUUUGAGAGUAGGCAGAAAAUGUGCAGCAGCAGUUUCUCGCCACUGUUGGAAACAUCAGUACUUCUAAGGGUGUAAUGAUUUGCAGUCUCCAGGGUAGUAUUUGGGGAAGAAGACAGAUGUCAGCGUUGAGAAGGGAGUAGGUAAGAUUAGAGUGCACCCCCGCAAUGCCACAAUCGGGAGAAAGAUGAAGUAACGCCCCAGUUGGUGGAUUGUGGUGGAGACAGUCUGGAAGGAAACUCAUGAAUGUAAUAACAUAUUCUCCUGUCAGAAACCUCAUGACUGCAGCCGUACCGUCCUGAAUAUGCCGUCUUUCCUGGUUUCAGAAGCUAAGCAAGUCAGCCUAGUUAGUGCCUAGAGGGAAGAAGACUUCCUUUGUAAAGAUUCUGCUUUACCAGCAAGGUAGGCCUGUGUUCGCUCAUUGCUAGCGUAUAUGCUGGGCACCUUAACACCCCAUGUCAGGCCAAGCUACUCAUGGUAGAAUACUUUCGUAUUAUAGUAUUCAUCUACCAGUGAGUAAGUGGUAGAGCUUGGAUUUGAACCCAGCCAGAACAACUAGAACCUGUCAAGCAGAUUUGCUGUCCUGGGGAGGUGCUUGGUGGGGAGGUCCCUGGGGAUGCUACCAGGGCUCUGGGCUGCAAGACCCUCCUGUCACACAUUCAUGAUGGUGGUACCUGCAUGCCUGCCCCUUCUGAUGGAUUUUUAUUAAUUUUAUUGGUCAGAACACUGAUAAAUCAGAUCCAUAUUUACCACUAGUAGUAUAGGCUGCCCGAUGGAACCAUCACAUCUGUCGCCCAGGUGGCUCAAGGCAGCAGGAGUGUGUGCGUGUGAUACUAGUACAGUGUAGUGUAGCAUAAAGUGUGGAUGAUGCUCCAGUCAUGGGUCCCAUAUUUGGGAAAUUGUUCAUUAAAAUUAACUUGUGCCCAUAGUCCAUAACCUUGCUCGCAUAGUCAUUUCCAUACACACCUUGUGGAGAGUUUGAGUUGCCUGACAAUUCAUGUGUCCCCACGUGAGGUCAAGUAAGGCAAGCCUUGUUUGCAUCAGCUCAUACUGCACAUUGUCUUUCUCUGGGGCAGAUUUUCUGUAUUUGUUGCUUUGUCUGAUUGUUAAGUGUCCCCCACACCUA